rnacentral:rRNA from 1 species
UGGCGGCAAUAGCGCAGUGGAACCACCUGACCCCAUGCCGAACUCAGAAGUGAAACGCGGUAGCGCCGAUGGUAGUGUGGCAUUCGCCAUGCGAGAGUAGGACACUGUC